GGACCAUCUGCUGGCAGCGGCAACCAUGGUGGGCAGAGGCCAAACUGAAGCAGCCACAUCCUGAUAGGGCUGCUUCCAGGAUGAGCCAGUGACACGUCCUUGAGAGCAGGUAUCAGCUGUGAUCAAGAGAAGCUGGUUUCUUCAGAGGAGGAUGCCGUGUGUGAGGUACGAGAGAGGAAAGAGCCCUUGAUCCAGCUGGACAACCCCAGAGACCUGGCCUAAGAAUUUUGUAAGAGGAAUUUAAAAGAAGAGUGGACCAAGGAGUUCCCUGGCGGCCUAGAAGGUUAAGGAUCUGGUGUUAUCACUGCUGUGGCUUGGGUAGCUGCUGUGGCAUGGGUUCCAUUCCUGGCCAGAGA
rnacentral:lncRNA from 1 species